rnacentral:ncRNA from 1 species
GUUGUGGUGCACGGGAGUCCCAGCGAGCGGGGACUGAGAGUGGGCGCGCACGCCCUUACCGUCGAACCUGAUCCGGGUCAUGCCGGCGAAGGGAGCAGACGAAUGCAUUCG